AUUUCAACGGAAAAUGUAACAAACACAAACAGAGAAUUGAAGUUCAAGAAUCUGAACUUCAAUUUGCUGUAAUGGAAAAGAUGUCCUCAAACAUGCAAUGCAAAGAAAACAGUGACAAUUAUAGGCAUGGAAAGGAAUAAGAAGUGAUUUUCAAAAAUGCAUUUCAAUGAAAAAUGUAACAAAUACAAUAGGAAAUUGAAGUUUUCAAGAAUUUGAACUUCGAUUUGCCGUAAUGGAAAAAUAUCCUCAAACAUGCAAUGCAAAGAAAGCAAUUAAGAUCAGACAUGGAUCUCAUCAGAACCUCAUCAUCGACAAUUAAAAAUUUGAAUUAAACCUCCAGACCUACCGUGCUCAGAGAAUUUUAAAACUUUACCAUUCUUCAGAUGUAGGUAUCUGUUCAUUCUUCAAAUGUAUAAGCAAAUGAGAAGUCGGAGCAACAAGGGGAAAUCUGAGCGGCAAGACUGGAAGCCCAACCAUGCAAUCAACUAGAGAGGGGUAGGAGAAUAAUUUCUGAGGCCUUAGCGUGGAAAUAAAGCCAGUCAAUGAAACCAACAAGUGGAAGGAAAUAAAGCCAGCCAUGAAAAACCUUGCAUCUUUGCCCUAGGCUUUCAAAAGCAUUCUCAUUCAGAUUCUUUCAAUCCAACAUCGUUCUCUGCAAAUCCCUCAUUGGGUUUUACUUUUCCUGCCAUGAUUAUGCAUCAGCUGAGCUUGUUUUUCAAACCAACGAAUGCCCAUGGGAUGUUUCUUUAUGGAAUGCUCUUCUCUAUGCUUACACCAACAAUUUCAGAGGGGCUUUAAACAGCAAUGGUUGUCUAUUACGUUCUCAAAGGCUAUUUUUCUUGGCAAUGGUCUUGUUGCAAUUCUUACUGGGUUGUUUGGGAAUGUACUAGUUGAUAGUCUGUCUCUUGGACCAGUGGCACCUUUUGAUGUUGCUGCAUGCUUUCUUGCCAUUGGUAUGACCAUCAUUAUGACAUCAUGGACCGAGAACUAUAGGGAUCCAUCGGAGAGAGGAUUUGCUCACCCAGUUCAGCGUGGCUGCUGUUGCCAUUGCACUUUGUAUUCUCUUAGAUUUUCAUGCUUAUAUAUUUUUUUUCAUUUGAUUACAUUUCCUGAAAGCCUAAAGUCUUAGCAAGAGUUUUAGUUUCCCCCUACCAUAAAUACUUCAAUAAAGAAAUCUUAUAAAUUUGCCACGACCAAAUUAAACUAAUUCUAAAAAAAUAUAGUAAUCAAAUGAAUUUGUAAUGUAAGCACAUGCUUUCUGUCAAUUGAUUUGAUUACAUUAUUCUGUAUAUUGUGUAGUGUACAUUACAAAUAUUUCCACGACUCAUUGUAUAAUGUGCAGUUUACAGUACAAAUUCAUUUGAUUGCAUUAUUUUGUUAAUUGAUUUUCCCCCUUUCUUCUUUUUUCCUUAGAAAGAUAAAUAUCUGAACGUUGAUUGAUAUUCUUUAAGAUAUGCCAACUCAUUUUAAAUUUUCUUUGGGUCAGAUGAGAAGAUCGCACUGCUAGGUGCAAUACAGUCUAUUUGAAGGUUCAAUGUAUUGCAGGCUUCGUGAAUUGAACAGCUUGGUGAUUACUUUUGUAUGUUUAUUCAUUUUUGUGAAUGAUGUUCCGUAUUUGUUAAUCCUUAAAUUUGAGGGUGCUACAUUCACAAAUAUGUAUAUGUAUUUAGUAGGUGUGCAUAUGAUA